GACGAACGCUGGCGGCGUGCCUAAUACAUGCAAGUCGAACGCAGUGGGGACGGUUGAGUAACACGUGGGUAACCUCCCAUCAGAGGGGAUAACACUUGGAAACAGGUGCUAAACCGAUACUGAUGGAUGGACCCGCGGGGCAUUAGCGAGUUGGUGCGGUAACGGCUCACCAAGGCCACGAUGCAUAGCCGGCCGGAGAGGGUGAUCGGCCACACGGGAACUGGUACACGGACCAGACUCUGACGGGAGGCAGCAGUAGGGAAUAUUCGGCAAUGGACGAAAGUCUGACCGAGCCAUGCCGCGUGAGUGAAGAAGGUUUUCGGAUCGUAAAACUCUGUUGUUAGAGAAGCGGUAUCUAACCAGAAAGCCACGGCUAACUCCGUGCCAGCAGCCGCGGUAAUAC
rnacentral:rRNA from 1 species